AUCGUGAAUAUUUAAAUGUCCUGUCACUAUUAUUUAAAGUCCCAUUUUGCAAAGGCUGCUUGAGGCUUUAGGUGAAUUAGAAGUGACUGUUUUGGUGAUGAAGCCAGCUUGGUGGCCCUCCCCCAGGUGAUAAGGACCAAGGUGCUGUUAAGGCCACUCUAGCAUCCCAACACUAGCUGUGGCCCUGCUCAUGAGGCUCAAGAGUUGGGGCAGGAGCUGACCACAUUUCCAGAGGCAGAUUUGAGUUUGUGAUGUCCUCUACUCCCCCUUCUAUUAACUCUGUCCCUAGUCCUGCUCCAUCCUGUUGCUUGUGGCCUGGAGGCUCAGCCUGACA
rnacentral:lncRNA from 1 species